rnacentral:rRNA from 1 species
AUCGAACGCUGGCGGCAUGCCUUACACAUGCAAGUCGAACGGCAGCACGGGUGCUUGCACCUGGUGGCGAGUGGCGAACGGGUGAGUAAUACAUCGGAACAUGUCCUGUAGUGGGGGAUAGCCCGGCGAAAGCCGGAUUAAUACCGCAUACGAUCUACGGAUGAAAGCGGGGGACCUUCGGGCCUCGCGCUAUAGGGUUGGCCGAUGGCUGAUUAGCUAGUUGGUGGGGUAAAGGCCUACCAAGGCGACGAUCAGUAGCUGGUCUGAGAGGACGACCAGCCACACUGGGACUGAGACACGGCCCAGACUCCUACGGGAGGCAGCAGUGGGGAAUUUUGGACAAUGGGCGAAAGCCUGAUCCAGCAAUGCCGCGUGUGUGAAGAAGGCCUUCGGGUUGUAAAGCACUUUUGUCCGGAAAGAAAUCCUUGGCCCUAAUACGGUCGGGGGAUGACGGUACCGGAAGAAUAAGCACCGGCUAACUACGUG